GGAUCAAACCCAGCACCUUGCACAUGCUAGGUGAGUGCUCUACUACUGAGCCACAACUCCAGCCCCUAUACUUUUUGUUUUUAAAAUGCUAAUUUUGAAAGCAUGAUACAGUGAAAAUCAGGGUAAAAUAAUGUUUUUUUUUUUUUUUUGCUGCUUUUUUUGUGAGAGAUAGAAAAAGAACAAAUUUUCUAAUACCUCUUAGGAGGGCAUAUGUGUAUUUGCUAUUAUGACAGAAUUCACUCAAACAUACAUGUUUAUUUGCAUUACUCUAAACUGCAUUUUUAUUAAAGUUUUUAUGUAUGUUACCUCUGGCCUCAAAGGUAUACCCAAGUAAAAUGUGACAGACCCUUUUGCAGUUCACUAAGACAAAAGUCAGGAUGCAAAUAAAAUCUAAAAUUUUAAAUAUGCACUGUUUUCUGUGAGAAUCCCAAAGACCAUGCCCAUUGUAGCUCUUUAAAAGUUUUAGAAUGUUUGAUGUUACAGUACUUGAGAAUUUUCUCGUUUAUGGUCUGUGAGAAUUAUUUACUUCUAAAUAUUUGUGACUUUGUGUCUUUUGCUUUGGAAUAUUUCUGUGCAGAGGAGUAAAUAAUGAUAAUUUUAGUAUUUAGUGAUAAGUAUUUAGUUCAAUAUGGAACCAGGAAUAAUAAUUUCUAAAAACCAGUUAUACUUUGGCAGUGUUCAUAUUUGCUUCUGAAUCCAUAGAUGAGUAGAAGACAUGCCUGAGUGAUAAAUCCAAUCUUCACACAGACUACUGAUAAUGACAGUAAUAGAUAGGUUAGC
rnacentral:lncRNA from 1 species